ACUGAUAAUGAGUGAAUGUUCAUGUGAUCUGUUACACAACACUAAGCUCUUAUUUCACUGUCUGCAGUUAUGUUCAGCCUUCAAACUCCUCUUGGUUGGAGAUGGGAAAAGGGGAUGGAAGCCAAAUGGACAGAUUCAGAGGAGAGGGUAAAGAGACCAGCUAGAAGCCUACAGGGAUCUUUCUCCCAGAAUGAGUGAGGCUUAAAAAAAAAUUUAAAAAAAGAUAUGUUUUGUGGAGAUGGUGUCUCCAAAUGCCCUCAUGAAGUCAGUUUUCCAGCUGAAAGCAUCAUGCAUGGAGAAAUUGAAGGAGCUCCAGAAACUGUUGAGCGGCCAGAAGUGUUUCAGGUGUUCCCUGCUCUCCAGAACACACCUAUACAAGCUGUCCAAGCGGCCGGUACAGUUCAAGGGAGUGUUGCCAGCAGUACAGGUUCAAUGCAUACAUACACAACAUUAACGGUGUGCAUUCUGCUUCCCACAGCUGCACAGCUCUCAUUGCCCACUAAUGGUAUAGUUCCUUGAAGAUGUUCAUACAAGUCAUAUCCACACUAACAUUGCAAAUAGGUGCCAGCCUGCAGGUAGUGUACAAAGACUGCUUGCCCUAUUUCACUUAUAAGCAGUUUGUUUAGAAAGAUGCUAUAUUUUAUUCCAAAUUUAACUUUCCAAAGGAUUUUAAAUUUCUCCUUCUUUUAAAUGUGUUUAAAAUAUCCUGUCUAGAAAUUAUCUGGUACUGCUGAUAUUUUGUUCUACUGAGCUAUUGUUUUCAUUUUGACUUGUCUUUUCCUUUCUUUUGAAAUAAGACUCAGACUAAAUACCAAAAUUCUUUCACUGCAUAUAAUGGCUGAGUGCACUAAAAUAUAAAAACCUUGAUUUAAGUAUUUUUGUAUUCAAAGAUCAUAGGCAAGUGUUCAUUUGAAGGUUCAGUGGCAUUUUGAAAUGAGAACAUCAUAUAUAAAGAUGUCAGAGAUGGAGCCUCCCACAGUGAGGUUGAAAGCAAAAGAAGAACAGAAUGAAUAGAAGAGUUUCUAGGUUCCAAGGAAUUUUAACAUCUCAUUACUUUAGAUUACUCUACAUAUAAUUUUCAAAUAUUUUGUAUUAUAGACUUCGAAUGUAUUGGUUAAAAUUACUUCAUGCCUGACAUCAAUUUAGUCUUAUUCAUUAUCUCCCUUAAAUAAAACCUUAAAAAUAGCUGGUUUCA
rnacentral:lncRNA from 1 species